UUCCACCAGGGACUUGCCCCUUAAGACAGACUCUAGGAAGCUGUCGCCCAGAUUCAUUGGCCCGUUUGUAGUGGACAGUUAUCAAUCACCACCACCAAUAUCACCACGGUGGUCAGGCUCAAACUGCCUCGCUCCCUUCGGGUCUACUCUUCGUUCCAUGUCUCACGCAUCAAACCUGUUUCCACCAGCCCGUUGGCUCCUCCCCCUCCUCCACCUCCACAGAUGAUUGAUGGCUUCCCCGCUUAUACAGUCCGCCGGAUUUUGGACUUGCGCCGCCGUGGGUUCCAGUACCUUGUCGACUGGGGAGGCUAUGGCCCUGAGGAGAGGAGCUGGGUUCCCCGCCGGCAGAUCCUGGAUGCCUCCCUCGUCAGGGACUUUCAUAGGCUGCAUCCUGAGAGGCCUGGUAGGGCGCCCGGAGGCACCUGUUGGGGAGGGGGUACUGUCAUGAACCCUGCAUCUUUCACCUGAGUUUGGGACUGAUUUUUUGAAUCCUGGGAAUGUCUGGGUUCCUGAGUUGGCACUUGCUGCACCUGCUGGUAAUCACGCACCUGUUCCUGAUCAGCCAUCCCUACCUCUUAAGGACAGACCAGACUUCCAUUACCUGCUGGAUUGUUAAUUUGCGUACCAUCACCUGCUCUGCCUGCCAGCCAGUUCCAAGUCCCUCAAAGCAGAGAUCUAAACUUUCCAGCCAGCCACGCCAGCCAGCCCUCAUGCUCCACUGCUUGGAAAGAGACUCCCUGCCACCUCACCCUGCCUAGUUUGCUCACGCUGCCUCAAUCAAUAAACUG